rnacentral:rRNA from 1 species
UACGUAGGGUGCAAGCGUUGUCCGGAAUUAUUGGGCGUAAAGAGCUCGUAGGCGGUUUGUCGCGUCGGCUGUGAAAACCCGGGGCUCAACCCCGGGCCUGCAGUCGAUACGGGCAGACUAGAGUGCGGUAGGGGAGACUGGAAUUCCUGGUGUAGCGGUGAAAUGCGCAGAUAUCAGGAGGAACACCGGUGGCGAAGGCGGGUCUCUGGGCCAUAACUGACGCUGAGGAGCGAAAGCGUGGGGAGCGAACAGG